rnacentral:lncRNA from 1 species
CAAAUGCUAACUGAUUAGUUUCAAUGUUGGAAAUAGUAUAUUUAAACAGAACAAUAACCAAUCAACCGAAACAAUUCCCACUUGUCAUUAUACCGACUGUGACUCUCCCUUUCACAUUUGGACUCAUCUACCUUAGCCAGACGCAGCUUUUGUGGACGGACAAUACCAUAAGUAUCAAAAAAACUUUUUUUAGCGGGGGAAAAAUGCAGAAUUUCAAACCACAAGAUCUUCAAUUUUUUUUCCCUCGGCUCUUUUUGAUGCAUUGUAAAAUUUUAUAAGUUUAUAAGGAAGGACCUAGCAAU